GACGAACGCUGGCGGCGUGCUUAACACAUGCAAGUCGAGCGGUAAGGCCCUUUCGGGGUACGACGAGCGGCGAACGGGUGAGUAACACGUGGGUGACCUGCCCUUACGCUCUGGGAUAAGCCUGGGAAACGUGGGUCUAAUACCGGAUAUGACUCCAUGACGCAUGUUGUGGGGUGGAAAGCCUUGUGCGGCUAGGGAUGGGCCUGCGGCCUAUCAGCUUGUUGGUGGGGUGAGGCCUACCAAGGCGACGACGGGUAGCCGGCCUGAGGGGGCGACCGGCCACACUGGGACUGAGACACGGCCCAGACUCCUACGGGAGGCAGCAGUGGGGAAUCUUGCGCAAUGGGCGAAAGCCUGACGCAGCGACGCCGCGUGGGGAUGACGGCC
rnacentral:rRNA from 1 species